rnacentral:misc_RNA from 1 species
GAUGAAGAACGUAGCGAAAUGCGAUAAGUAAUGUGAAUUGCAGAAUUCAGUGAAUCAUCGAAUCUUUGAACGCACAUUGCGCCCCCUGGUAUUCCGGGGGGCAUGCCUGUCCGAGCGUCAUUACAACCCUCAAGCUCAGCUUGGUGUUGGGCCCCGCCGCCCCGGCGGGCCCUAAAGUCAGUGGCGGUGCCGUCCGGCUCCGAGCGUAGUAAUUCUUCUCGCUCUGGAGGUCCGGUCGUGUGCUCGCCAGCAAACCCCAAUUUUUUUCAGGUUGACCUCGGAUCAGGUAGGGAUACCCGCUGAACUUAAGCAUAUCAAUAAGCGGAGGA